ensembl:lncRNA
GACUCAAGUCAGGGGCUUUUUAUUAAGAGUAACUGAAACUGCCUUCCCUCAGAGUGUGUAGUUAUGUUUCUUGAUGUUUUAUUGUGACAAUGACAAUGAAGGCAGCUGGGCGUCAGUAGUGUUUGUGUUUAAUAUGAGAACAGACAUCUGUGUGUAUUUACUGUAUGAAUGUGAUUUUGAUUAUAUGUUUUGUGAAAAGCAUGUAAAUGUAAUGUAAAAUACCUAACUUUCCCCUACAGAGACAAAUAAACAUGCAAGACCUCAGCAUACUACCCACUAUAGAAGUAAGAAAUCACCACAUACCCACCUCUAGUCCCUUUAAUAACACAUACUACAAUAACACAAGUGUCAGUGAUGUGUUUUAGUUUAAUGUCUUGUGCUUGUAAUAAAUACACUUUGUUUAUUCAUAGGUGAUUCUGUCAGAUGUGGUCCAGAGGAUGGCAAUAAUGAUGUGAGUGUUAUGAGAAUGAACUGGUGGAGCUUAUAUAUUACAUUUUUAAAUGUUGUUGUUAAAGACAAAACAGUGACUUACAUCAAGGUCAGGCAACUCAUCCUUUAGUUGAACAUGAUAUCUGUGAAGAAUCACAUCUACAAAAAACAUAGAGCUCUCGCCCUCUCUUUAAGAUCAAAUCCAAUCACAGAUAACACAGAUCUACAGUGACAUGCAAAAGUUGGGCACCCCUGGGCAAAACCUCUGUAACCAUGAACAGUUACGUGGGUAGAAGAAGAAGAGAUCUCCAAAAGGCAUAAAGUUAACGAUGAAACAAUCUUUUCAACAUUUUUAAGAAUAGAUUCAUGUAUUAUUUUUGUUUUAUACAAUUUUAGAGUUAAAAAAGGAA